GAGCUGUUGUGGGUAACUAUGACUACAGAACUCUGCAGAUGGGGAUGUUAAGACAUGAUUCAAUCUAAUUCAGGGCCCCUGAUACCCCUCAGGUCAAGGACAAAUCUACAGUUUUAUACAGAGCAAUCACUGAAUGGAAUUCUUUACUAACUCACAUUUUUCAGGCCAAAAGUAAAUCCACCUUCAAGAAAACAAUAAAAGUACAUCUAAUGUGAUCGACCGUAUUACUGGACAGAGAGACCAGAGAGCAUCUACUGAAUGUAUAAUGUAUUACCUGUCAGGUAUUUUAAUUGUAUGUAAUGUUUAAUUGUUAAAUGUUUAUAAUGUCUUAAUGACAAUUGCAAUUGUUUGUAAUGUCUUUUUAGUUCUGUGUUGGACCCCAGGAAGAUUAGCUGACGUUAUGCCGUCAACUAAUGGGGAUCCCAGAGUCAAAUUGAGGGUUGAUCGAUGAGGACAUGUUUUUGCCUGAGGAGUGGGUCAAACAAUGUGUACUACUAGCACUGGAUCAAAACAGAGGGUUAUUGAAGUAGUUUACAAACGAUUAAUCAUAAUUGUUACUGCAGGAGUAUGCAAAAUCAUUUAGUUUAACGGUUUUGUUUGGACAGUUCUUGCAUUCUCGCAGACUAGGGCCACAUCCUCGAGUUUCCAAGUAUUGACCGCACUGCGGCUUUAUGGGUAACAAAUAAAACAGACAUUGGAGCUGACAGCCUUCAGCGGGACUCCACUUCUUAUUUAUCACCUACACGUUCUCCAGAAGGGCCACACUUUAGUCCAGAAUCCAGUUCUGUAUGUAUGCACACAGCCAAUCCCAAUUCACCCCUUCGUCUUGGACUCUAACCCGCUAAUGUUUGCAGAUAUGUAAGGUGGAAGCAAUAUGGUGGAAGCUCCACCACUACACUGCUUAUACCUAUCCAUAUACUACAGAUCUGCUAACGUUAAAGGGUUAGGUCCAAGGGGGAGGGGAGGGAGCGAAUUGGGGCCAGCUGACCCAGUUGGCGUGUGUUGUCGAUGUUACGGACUACCUGUCUGCUGAGAUCUCCACCCUCAAACAGAAGAAGUUCAACAUGGUGACGUUCGCGGACAUCCCGGGCCUGUUGAACCGGGACAGGCCUCCCUUUGAUGUCAACUGCGCUAUCACCUCAUUUGGGGAGCAGGCAGACCUGGUUUUGUGUUCUUUGACCCCAUGGGCCAGGCGCUGUGCUAGCGCACGCUCAACAUCAUGAAGAAACUUAGCGAUAAGAUUGCGGACAAGCUGCGAUUCUACCUCAGCAAGGCAGUCGAAGCCGGGAGGGAGCUGGACAGACAGAAUUACCACAACAAUUGGCGACGAGGAUGGGACGCUAACUCCGCUUACUGAUCUUUCCUGAGGAGACCGAGGUUAACUGCGCACAGGGGCUACAGAAGACGCGGCUCAGGGGACUCCUGAGAAAACCCGCAAACCAGGCUGUCAUCAUGAGACACAGUGGAAAGAAUCCAGCUAGCUAAAGCAUUUACUGCAAAUUGAAUGUACAAAUGUGUAAGCUUGCCUUGCCGUGCAAUGCAGCGGAAGUAACAUAGCUAGCUAACUAUUUAACGGUAACUAACUCACUUUUGUACAUCGCACUGGUCCGUGCAAUUGACCUUAUUUUAGCGCCCAAAAAACGUAAUACUUCCAGAUCAACUGUAAUAUCAAUACCAUUGUAAAGCACAAUUUCUCCCCUCUUUAACAAACCAAUGAUGAGACCUUCAUGAUGCCCAUCUCUGCAUGAUUCAAGAAGGCAAUGAGCUCCGUCUGGUCUUUUUAAAAAUGGCAGGUGGGGAAGUGAAACCUACUGCGUGAUAGUGAAAGGGGAAACAUCUUUUUUCACCUGUCCAACUUAUCACCUUAUCACCUCUAAAAUGAAAAUAAACACUGUGAAGAGUUUAUAUAACUUGUUAUUCCAUACCUAUUUGUAGGUUUGUGUCGAAUUUGAAUUGGGUUUUUAGGGCGGCGCUAAAGUUAUCUUCAGAAGUUAACAGCGGCUUUUGAGAGUCAUGAUGGCUUGCAGUUAUGACGCAAAAAAUGACUAGGUAAUGUUAUCCCCCUUACCCUGUCCCUUUCUUAUUUUUAAGCGGUGAGAUAAGCGCUACACCUGGUGGAGAGAGGCUGUAAGACACAGAAUUAGUUGGUUUACGUGUGCUGUACGUUACGUCAUUGUCACGCCCUGGUCGAAGUAUAGUAUGUUUGUCUUCAUUUAUUUGGUCAGGCCAGGGUGUGACAUGGGUUUUUGUGGUGCGUUUUUGUCUUGGGGUUUUGUGGGGUGUCUAGCAUAGUCUAUGGCUGCCUGAGGCGGUUCUCAAUCAGAGUCAGGUGAUUAUCGUUGUCUCUGAUUGGGAACCAUAUUUAGGCAGCCAUAUUCUUUGAGUAUUUCGUGGGUGAUUGUUAGUUGUCACCAGAUAGGCUGUAUAGGUUUUCACGUUCCGUUUGUUGUUUUGUAUUGUUCGUGUUUUUUCACGUUUUUUCGUCUAUUAAAGAUGUAUCGAACUAACCACGCCGCAUUCAUGACACGACGCAAUUUAAAGUACCGCGUCGGAGUGGUCCGUUUUUUAAACUUUCACUCCAAUACUAUUGAUCCAUUACCAUGUCAAUCAACGCAUGAAUAGAAACGUAGUUCACAUCCCAGAUUUUGAUGUCAACACAGUUGCUGCAGUCCCAUUAGUUUUCAUUGCAGCCUCGUUUGAAUGUCGUGGUUGCUCAAAUUUGUACGGAAUGAGGUUAGUCACCAUUACUUGCUUAUUGUGUAGUGGAGGAUAAGAAUAACUGUAUGCCUAUGGAUGUGUAGCUAGCUACAGUAUGUAGCCGAUCUGUGUAUGGACCCUAAAUACCAAUCUAUGAAUACCAAUCUAUGAACCUCAGCUAUCAUAGUUGUUGCAUCAACUUCAAGUCUGAAUGGCAUUAAUGAAGCCUAUGGAUUGUGUUGAAUAUAAUAACUUUAAUGUGCCAAGGAUGCAAGUCCUAUAUACAUGUACUGUAGUUAUUACCACGCAUGAGAUUCCAACAUUGUAGCCUGUACAUUGAAUAUAUUCACUGAUCAUGUACUCUUCCUUGGCAAUUAAAGGUGCAGUUCGGGUAUGAAUCUCUGUGAGACAUUAUUUUUCAGUCAUAUCCAAUACCAGGUGUAUCAAACUCCAUUCAUUAAAUGAUGCUGUGUCUGCAUGUAUGUACUACAAUUAUACACUUCAACAGUGUUUACCACUCCUGCACCUGGGGCAUCAAUGAUUACCCAUUGUAGCUAUGCAAUA